AGCGAACGCUGGCGGCAUGCUUAACACAUGCAGGUCGCGCGGGUGGUUUCGGCCAUCAGCGGCGGACGGGUGAGUAUCGCGUAGGAAUGUAUCCCGAGGUGGGGGACAACCCUGGGAAACUGGGGCUAAUACCGCAUGGGGCCUGUGGGUCAAAGCCUUAGGGCGCCUUGGGAGCAGCCUGCGUCCGAUUAGGUAGUUGGUGGGGUAAAGGCCUACCAAGCCUGCGAUCGGUAGCUGGUCUGAGAGGACGAUCAGCCACACUGGGACUGAGACACGGCCCAGACUCCUACGGGAGGCAGCAGUGGGGAAUAUUGGACAAUGGGCGCAAGCCUGAUCCAGCAAUGCCGCGUGGGUGAAGAAGGUCUUCGGAUUGUAAAGCCCUUUCGGCGGGGACGAUGAUGACGGUACCCGCAGAAGAAGCCCCGGCUAACUUCGUG
rnacentral:rRNA from 1 species